CGGAACUAGAGACCGGCGCACGGGUGCGUAACGCGUAUGCAAUCUACCUUUUACAGANNNNUAGCCCAGAGAAAUUUGGAUUAAUACCUCAUAGUAUAUAGCCCUGGCAUCAGGAUUAUANNAAAGUCACAACGGUAAAAGAUGAGCAUGCGUCCCAUUAGCUAGUUGGUAAGGUAACGGCUUACCAAGGCUACGAUGGGUAGGGGUCCUGAGAGGGAGAUCCCCCACACUGGUACUGAGACACGGACCAGACUCCUACGGGAGGCAGCAGUGAGGAAUAUUGGACAAUGGGCGCAAGCCUGAUCCAGCCAUGCCGCGUGCAGGAUGACGGUCCUAUGGAUUGUAAACUGCUUUUAUACGAGAAGAAACACUCCUUCGUGAAGGAGCUUGACGGUAUCGUAAGAAUAAGGAUCGGCUAACUCCGUGCCAGCAGCCGCGGUAAUACGGAGGAUCCAAGCGUUAUCCGGAAUCAUUGGGUUUAAAGGGUCCGUAGGCGGUUUAAUAAGUCAGUGGUGAAAGCCCAUCGCUCAACGGUGGAACGGCCAUUGAUACUGUUAGACUUGAAUUAUUAGGAAGUAACUAGAAUAUGUAGUGUAGCGGUGAAAUGCUUAGAGAUUACAUGGAAAUACCAUUGCGAAGGCAGGUUACUACUAAU
rnacentral:rRNA from 1 species